AUAUACAUACAUAUACCUAUAUAUAUAUAUAUUAUAUAUAUAUAUAUAUAUAUAUAUAAUUUCAAACAUUCUUUCACCCAGUCAAUAAAUGUUAUUCAAAAUAUGGCAUACAGAAUGCAGUACAUUAAGAUAACAAUAAAUAGGGAAAAAGAACUGAAACCUAAUAAAAUACACGAAACAAGAAUAAAGAUGACGUACAACACUGUAAAGACAACUCUGACAAUAAGACAUAUGAAAACAAACUGUAUAAAAUUCCUUCCUACCGAGCGUUUUUGCAAAGAAAUACCUCAAUGUAUACACAUGCUACAUACUUAAUACAUACGUGCACACGUAGAUAUAUAUAUAUAUAUAUAUAUAUAUAUAUAUAUAUAUAUAUAUAUGUAUAUAUAUAUAUGUGUGAACAUCAGAUACAGGAGUGUGUAUUCCGAUAAAUCUCAUGUAUACACGCACGUGUAUAUAUAGACAGAUUUAUAUAUCCAUACAGCCAUAUGGCUAUAUAGUUUGAAACCUGUUUCACCACAAGGUGACGUCAAGGUUAUUAAAAUUCAUAUAUACCUGCACACGCCAAAACGCACACACGCACAUACGCACACAAUCACACACACACAAAAACACAUGCAUUAACUCGUAGACACAGACAUAUACAUAACCAUGACAUAUAUAUAUAGCGUAAAGUGACAGAGAGCGCUAAGUUGCUAUGGCGAUAACCUCCAAUAAAUGCUUGAUGUAUCAUAGUUAUACUAGUAUAUAUAUCAUAUAAAUAAUCGUAUAUAUAUAUAAACUAUAUACCUCCAUAUAUAUAUAUUGUAAUGAAACAAGUGAGUGUAGAGCAAGUGAACAAUUUUUUAUAUAAAAUAUAUAAUCCGAAUAUCAAAAUAUCUACAUAUAUCGAAAAAUGAAUUGUUGCGUAUUAGAAACUGCAUAGUUAUGUGAGCGUUUAGUGACGCUGAUAGGGAAUAUAUAUAUAAAGUAUGCACGUAUAGACGUACAUAUACGUGUACAUGUAUAUAUUCUGUAUUAAUGUAUGCUUAAUUAUAGAAGGUCGUAUGUUACUAUGGUGAUUAGGUUUAUACAUAGUUUGUCUCUAUAUCUUUGCGCAUAUACAUAUAUUCCUGUACUACAAAGCUAUUUCCGAUUUAACACUCAUAUAACAAAAAUAUUGAGAGGGGUAUAACAUAUAUACCCCUCAAAAAUAAUUACAUAAAAUACACACAUAUAACCCAAUAUACUUUUUUCGAUAUGUAUAUAUAUACACAUUAUUAUAAUAAAAUGUUUAUGUAUAUAUAAAUUAAAAACCUAACACACAUUUAAAUAUGUAUAUAUAUAUGCAUAUAUAUAUAUAUAUUUACAUCUACAAUGUUGUUUUGUAUAUAUAUUUGAGAGUCAAUAUCGUGAAUUUAAUAUCGGUCGCCUACAGUGAUCCCUACAUGUUUUUCGACAAGCAACGGGUUAUUUUUCGUCCUAUCGAUAUAUUUAUCAAUAUUUAUAUCCAUAUCCAUAUAUCUAUAUAUAUCUAUAUAUCUCUAUAUAUAUAUAACCAUAUAUAAACAACUCGUUUGUUGUGUAGCUUUUUUGUAGGGCCUACCCAAAACCCAGAACGGUGGUUGGGUUAUUCCACCUUUUGGUAUAGGGGAUACAGGCUAUAAGUAGUAAUUAUAAAAUAAUAUCAUAUGAAAUAAUCAAUGAACUGGAAAGCCCCAUCUGAGAUUUUUUUCUUUAUGGCCACCAUGUAUGGUAGCCUCGUUCUCAAACGGUGGGGUGUUUCCAGCGAUGAAAAGAGACGCUGGUUCUGUAUUCCACUCAUCUGAGAUACAAACGUUUUCGACUAGUUUGAGUUUGGGGGCAAAUAUCAAACGGUCUAAUUCGUAUGUUAUUCUCAGGAACACGGCCAGGAACGUGGUGUGAAUACACACAUAAACAUACACCAAAAUAAAAAAAAAAAUGAAACGAAAACCAAACAGAUCUUUACAACUCCCGUAUAUAUAUAUACAUGCAGACAUAAAAACAAC